AUCUAGCUGACGUGUCCUAAAUAGGAUGAAACGCGCAUCCUAGAU
rnacentral:hammerhead_ribozyme from 1 species